UAGGGAAUCUUCCACAAUGGACGCAAGUCUGAUGGAGCAACGCCGCGUGAGUGAAGAAGGUCUUCGGAUCGUAAAGCUCUGUUGUUGGUGAAGAAGGAUAGAGGCAGUAACUGGUCUUUAUUUGACGGUAAUCAACCAGAAAGUCACGGCUAACUACGUGCCAGCAGCCGCGGUAAUACGUAGGUGGCAAGCGUUGUCCGGAUUUAUUGGGCGUAAAGCGAGCGCAGGCGGAAUGAUAAGUCUGAUGUGAAAGCCCACGGCUCAACCGUGGAACUGCAUCGGAAACUGUCAUUCUUGAGUGCAGAAGAGGAGAGUGGAACUCCAUGUGUAGCGGUGGAAUGCGUAGAUAUAUGGAAGAACACCAGUGGCGAAGGCGGCUCUCUGGUCUGCAACUGACGCUGAGGCUCGAAAGCAUGGGUAGCGAACAGGAUUAGAUACCCUGG
rnacentral:rRNA from 1 species